AUUGAACGCUGGCGGCAGGCCUAACACAUGCAAGUCGAACGGUAACAGGAAACAGCUUGCUGUUUCGCUGACGAGUGGCGGACGGGUGAGUAAUGUCUGGGGAACUGCCUGAUGGAGGGGGAUAACUACUGGAAACGGUAGCUAAUACCGCAUAACGUCGCAAGACCAAAGAGGGGGACCCUCGGGCCUCUUGCCAUCGGAUGUGCCCAGAUGGGAUUAGCUUGUUGGUGGGGUAACGGCUCACCAAGGCGACGAUCCCUAGCUGGUCUGAGAGGAUGACCAGCCACACUGGAACUGAGACACGGUCCAGACUCCUACGGGAGGCAGCAGUGGGGAAUAUUGCACAAUGGGCGCAAGCCUGAUGCAGCCAUGCCGCGUGUAUGAAGAAGGCCUUCGGGUUGUAAAGUACUUUCAGCGGGGAGGAAGGGAGUAAAGUUAAUACCUUUGCUCAUUGACGUUACCCGCAGAAGAAGCACCGGCUAACUCCGUG
rnacentral:rRNA from 1 species